AUUGAACGCUGGCGGCAUGCUUUACACAUGCAAGUCGAACGGCAGCGCGGGCUUCGGCCUGGCGGCGAGUGGCGAACGGGUGAGUAAUGCAUCCGAACGUGCCCAGUCGUGGGGGAUAGCCCGGCGACAGCCGGAUUAAUACCGCAUACGACCUGAUGGUGAAAGCGGGGGACCGAAAGGCCUCGCGCUAUUGGCGCGCCCGAUGUCGGAUUAGCUAGUUGGUGGGGUAAAGGCUUACCAAGGCGACGAUCCGUAGCUGGUCUGAGAGGCCGACCAGCCACACUGGGACUGAGACACGGCCCAGACUCCUACGGGAGGCAGCAGUGGGGAAUUUUGGACAAUGGGGGCAACCCUGAUCCAGCCAUGCCGCGUGCGGGAAGAAGGCCUUCGGGUUGUAAAACGCUUUUGUUAGGGAAGAAAACCUCUGGGCUAAUACCCCGGGGGGAUGACGGUACCGGAAGAAUAAGCACCGGCUAACUACGUG
rnacentral:rRNA from 1 species